ensembl:lncRNA
ACACCAUAGUGCCCUCAAAUCUCAUCACUAAGCGUAAGGACCCUGGGACAAAACAGAGGGUAGUGCGUACGGCCCAGUAUAUCACUGAGGCCAAGCUUCCUGCCACCCAGGACCUCUCUAUACCAGGUGUGUAUAAAAAUGUCAAAGACUCCAGCCAUCCUAGUCAUAGACUGUUCUCUCUCUGCUACCGAAUGGCAAACACUACCGGACCGCCACGUCUAGGUCCAAAAGACUUCUUAACAGCUUCCACCCCCAAGCCAUGAGACUCCUGAACAGCUUCCACCCCCAAGCCAUGAGACUCCUGAACAGCUUCCACCCCCCAAGCCAUGAGACUCCUGAACAGCCGUCCACCCCCAAGCCAUGAGACUCCUGAACAGCCUUCCACCCUCAAGCCAUGAGACUCCUGAACAACUACUGCUGCUUUUUAAUUAUUUGGUAUCUUUUUUAACGUGUUUUGUUUCUGUAUUGUUGGUUAAGGGCUUGUAAGUAAGCAUUUCACUGUUUUAUUUGGCGCAUGUGACAUACACUUUGAUUUGCUUGGAUCUUGUGCUUUACCUUAUAAAGGUGCAGUUUCAGUCAUAUCCAAUACCAGGAGUAUCAUAUUCCAGUCGUUGAAUGAUGC